rnacentral:rRNA from 1 species
UACGGAGGGUGCAAGCGUUAUCCGGAUUCACUGGGUUUAAAGGGUGCGUAGGCGGGUUGGUAAGUCAGUGGUGAAAUCUUCAAGCUUAACUUGGAAACUGCCGUUGAUACUAUCAAUCUUGAAUAUUGUGGAGGUAAGCGGAAUAUGUCAUGUAGCGGUGAAAUGCUUAGAUAUCGUAAGGAAGACCAGUGGCGAAGGCGGGUCUCUGGACAGUUCCUGACGCUGAGGCACGAAAGCGUGGGGAGCGAACAGG